rnacentral:lncRNA from 1 species
AGAACGAGGGAGGAGGAGCUGGAGCAGUAGGUGGCGGAGGAAACAUUGGAGGGAAUAACGAUGGAUGAGGAGUGGGGGGAGGCCGAGGCUGAAAUGGGUUUGGAGGAAAAAACGAUGGAGGAGGAGAAGGUGGUGGCUGAUGAAAUAUUGGAGGGAAUAUCGACGGAGGAGGAGCAUGAGGAGGCUGAGGAAAUAAUGGAGGAAAUCUCGGAGGAGGCGGUCGAUGAAACGGAUUUGGAAGGAAAAUCGAAGGAGACGGUGGCUUAAACGGGUUAGGUGGGAAAA